GACGAACGCUGGCGGCGUGCCUAAUACAUGCAAGUUGAGCGAUGAAGCUUGGUGCUUGCACCAAUUUGAAGAGCAGCGAACGGGUGAGUAACGCGUGGGGAAUCUGCCUUUGAGCGGGGGACAACAUUUGGAAACGAAUGCUAAUACCGCAUAAUAACUUUAAACAUAAGUUUUAAGUUUGAAAGAUGCAAUUGCCUCACUCAAAGAUGAUCCCGCGUUGUAUUAGCUAGUUGGUGAGGUAAAGGCUCACCAAGGCGAUGAUACAUAGCCGACCUGAGAGGGUGAUCGGCCACAUUGGGACUGAGACACGGCCCAAACUCCUACGGGAGGCAGCAGUAGGGAAACUUCGGCAAUGGACGAAAGUCUGACCGAGCAACGCCGCGUGAGUGAAGAAGGUUUUCGGAUCGUAAAACUCUGUUGGUAGAGAAGAACGUUGGUGAGAGUGGAAAGCUCAUCAAGUGACGGUAACUACCCAGAAAGCGACGGCUAACUACGUG
rnacentral:rRNA from 1 species